rnacentral:rRNA from 1 species
UACGGGGGGGGCAAGCGUUGUUCGGAAUUACUGGGCGUAAAGGGCUCGUAGGCGGCCAACUAAGUCGGAUGUGAAAUCCCCAGGCUUAACCUGGGAACUGCAUCCGAUACUGGAUGGCUUGAAUCCGGGAGAGGGAUGCGGAAUUCCAGGUGUAGCGGUGAAAUGCGUAGAUAUCUGGAGGAACACCGGUGGCGAAGGCGGCAUCCUGGACCAACACUGACGCUGAUGAGCGAAAGCCAGGGGAGCAAACGGGG